rnacentral:sRNA from 1 species
GGGUGGAACCCGAGCCAUGUCUUCUCUGUACGGCAGCCUGGCAGGGUUGCAGGAGCUCGGCCUUCUAGACACUGUGACCUACCUGAGUGGGGUCUCUGGGUCCACCUGGUGCAUCUCCACACUCUACAGGGACCCAGCCUGGUCCCAGGUGGCCUUGCAGGGCCCCAUUGAGCAUGCCCAGGUUCACGUCUGCAGCAGUAAGAUGGGAGCUUUGUCCACGGAGCGGCUACAGUACUACACUCAGGAACUGGGGGUCCGGGAGCGCAGUGGCCACAGCGUGUCCCUCAUCGACCUCUGGGGCCUCCUUGUGGAGUAUUUCCUGUACCAGGAGGUGAGAGAAGAGCCAGAAGGAAAUACGUAGGCUCCUCUCCACUCCUUCCACCCGCCCCUUGCUUCUGCCUCAUCCCUCAGGCUAAGAUCUGAUUUACAAAGCUGUUCCUGAGGUCUCGGCUCCCCUGGGGCCAGGAGUGAGACUCCAGGGUGGGCUGGCAUCACUUUGCCUCCCUAGCUCCUAACCCCUGGGGAGGAGGAGCCUGGCCCACAGUGCUCAGCGCUGGCUGCAUAUUGGAAUCACCGGCGUAGCUUUUCAAACACACCCAUGCCUUGGCCCCCCUUCCAGAGAGAGUGAUUUUAGUUGGUCUCAGGAUGUUUUGAAAGUGAUUUCAGCCCACACCUGGAAGUGAGGCUCAGCACCACACCCACUCCUUGGCCAAUUCCGCCAUAACUCACUCCGCCUGGCGGCUCCUGGAACUUCAGACCCAGCUGCAGUUCCAGGCGAUA